UCCUACGGGACGCAGCAGUGGGGAAUAUUGGGCAAUGGGCGCAAGCCUGACCCAGCAACGCCGCGUGAGGGAAGAAGGCUUUCGGGUUGUAAACUUCUUUUAAGAGGGACGAAGGAAGUGACGGUACCUCUUGAAUAAGCCACGGCUAACUACGUGCCAGCAGCCGCGGAAAUACGUAGGUGGCAAGCGUUAUCCGGAUUUAUUGGGUGUAAAGGGCGUGUAGGCGGGAGCG
rnacentral:rRNA from 1 species